CCCUUAGAUGUUCUGGGCCGCACGCGCGCUACACUGACGAUGGCAACGAGUUUUUCCUUCGCCGAAAGGUGUGGGUAAUCUUUUGAAACAUCGUCGUGCUGGGGAUAGAUCAUUGCAAUUUUUGAUCUUGAACGAGGAAUUCCUAGUAAGCGCGAGUCAUCAGCUCGCGUUGAUUUCGUCCCUGCCCUUUGUACACACCGCCCGUCGCUACUACCGAUUGAAUGGUUUAGUGAGGACUCCUGAUUGGCGCCGCCGCCCCGGCAACGGAGCAGCGGACUGCCGAAAAGUUGUUCAAACUUGAUCAUUUAGAGGAAGUAAAAGUCGUAACA
rnacentral:rRNA from 1 species